UGCCAGCCGCCGCGGUAAUACGGGGGGUCCUAACGUUGUUCGGAAUCAUUGGGCGUAAAGCGGGUGUAGGCGGAAUGGAUAGUCAGAUGUGAAAGCCCGGGGCUCAACCCCGGAAGUGCAUUGGAAACUGGCGAACUUGAGUACGGGAGAGGAAAGUGGAAUUCCGAGUGUAGGGGUGAAAUCCGUAGAUAUUCGGAGGAACACCAGUGGCGAAGGCGGCUUUCUGGACCGAUACUGACGCUGAGACGCGAAAGCGUGGGGAGCAAACAGGAUUAGAUA
rnacentral:rRNA from 1 species